rnacentral:misc_RNA from 1 species
GAUGAAGAACGCAGCGAAAUGCGAUAAGUAAUGUGAAUUGCAGAAUUCAGUGAAUCAUCGAAUCUUUGAACGCACAUUGCGCCCGCUAGUAUUCUGGCGGGCAUGCCUGUUCGAGCGUCAUUUCAACCAUCAAGCCUCAGGCUUGUGUUGGAGCCCUGCGGCGGCCGCAGCCUCCCAAAAACAGUGGCGGGCUCGCUAUCACACCGAGUGCAGUAGUUUACUCUUCGCUCAGGGCGUGUGGCGGGUGCUAGCCGUGAAACCCCCUACUUCUCAAGGUUGACCUCGGAUCAGGUAGGAAUACCCGCUGAACUUAAGCAUAUCAAUAAGCGGAGGA